CGCAGCUUGCACAGAAGGUAUGGGAAUGGCAUUACUGCUUUAUUCUUUGCCUUGGUCUACACAGGAAUAAAGCAGAACUGUGAAAACUGCUUAACAUAUUCACAAUAAGCCUAUAAGAGGUGUAAUUACAUCUCCAUUUUACAGAAGAAGAAACUGGUGCCUAAGGUCACACUGAUAAUAGAUGAAGUGAUGGAGCAAGGAUUCAACCGCCAGCAGUUCGGUUCCUCAGCCUCACACUGAAAGAAGCUUUAUUUAUUCCUGGAGAUUCAAUCAUCGAGCUAGAAGGCAGAGUCCUUGGAGAUAUACCAGAGUACAAGGAAGGAAGAGAAUGACAGAAUGGAAAGGGACAUCACCAGGUUUGCAUUGUGAUCACCACGCUAUGCAUCUACAUCCCUGUUGUGAUGCUGUGGUUCAAAUCUGUCAGCAGAACUAAGGCAGGACAAUCACUCCUGCAAUUCUACUUAAAUUGCAAAACAGCAAUGUGGUUUAUUGGAAAAUGUCCAGGUCUGGAGCCUGGCCUGAGUCUUCACCCAAUCACUCACUAGCUGUGCAUCUGUGCUAAUGACUAUAUAUCAGAUGGAUAAUGAAAAAGUCCUGACGUUCAGGAGAUGGCUGAG
rnacentral:lncRNA from 10 species